rnacentral:rRNA from 1 species
ACGUAGGGGGCAAGCGUUGUCCGGAAUCACUGGGCGUAAAGCGCGCGCAGGCGGUCUUUCACGUCCGGGGUGAAAGCCCAGAGCUCAACUCUGGGAUUGCCUUGGAUACGGGGAGACUUGAGGAUCGGAGAGGCAAGGGGAAUUCCACGUGUAGCGGUGAAAUGCGUAGAGAUGUGGAGGAACACCUGUGGCGAAGGCGCCUUGCUGGCCGAUUUCUGACGCUGAGGCGCGAAAGCGUGGGGAGCAAACAGGA